rnacentral:rRNA from 1 species
GGCCUUUAGAAUUUAAUUUAAGGUCUGACCUGCCCAGUGAUGAAUUUAACGGCCGCGGUAUAUUGACCGUGCAAAGGUAGCAUAAUCAUUAGUCUUUUAAUAGAGGGCUGGAAUGAACGGUUUAACGAGGAAUUGACUGUCUCAUUUUAUUUGUUUUAAAACUUAAUUUUUUAGUUAAAAAGCUAAAAUUUUAUUGGAAGACGAGAAGACCCUAUAGAUCUUUAUAUAAUUUUUUGUAUUUAUUUAUAUAUUAACAUAAAUGUAUUAAUAUUAUAUUUUGUUGGGGUGACAAAAAUAUAUAACUAACUUUUUUAUUUAUUUACCAUUGAUAUAUGAAUUUUGGAUCCAUUUUUAGUGAUUGUUAGAUUAAGUUACCUUAGGGAUAACAGCGUAAUCCUCCUCCAGAGUUCAUAUUUACAGGAGGGCUUGCGACCUCGAUGUUGGAUUAAGAUAAUAAUUAGGUGUAGCCGCUUAAUUUAUAGGUCUGUUCGACCUUUAAAUUCUU